rnacentral:rRNA from 1 species
GACAGGGGUCUCAAGCGUUAAUCGGAAUUACUGGGCUUAAAGGGUGCGUAGGCGGGCCUGUAAGUGUCCUGUGAAAUCCCCCGGCUCAACCGGGGAACUGCGGGGCAUACUGCGGGUCUUGAGGAAGGUAGGCGCCGAGGGAACAGUAGGUGGAGCGGUGAAAUGCGUAGAUAUCUACUGGAACGCCGAUGGUGAAGACGCUCGGCUGGGCCUUUCCUGACGCUGAGGCACGAAAGCGUGGGGAGCAAACAGG